GCCCGGAUGGCGAAAUCGGUAGACGCAGGGGACUCAAAAUCCCCCGCCGCAAGGCGUGUCGGUUCGAGUCCGACUCCGGGCA
rnacentral:tRNA from 1 species